rnacentral:rRNA from 1 species
GGUGAACGCUGGCGGCGUGCUUAAGACAUGCAAGUCGAACGGCAGUCUUCGGGCUGUAGUGGCGCACGGGUGAGUAACGCGUAACUGACCUACCCCAAAGUCGCGGAUAACGAUUCGAAAGAAUCGCUAAUACGUGAUGUGCUGUCAGAUUGUGUUCUGCCAGUAAAGAUUGAUUGCUUGGGGAGGAGGUUGCGUUCCAUCAGCUAGUUGGUGGGGUAAAGGCACACCAAGGCGACGACGGAUAGCCGGCCUGAGAGGGUGGCCGGCCACAGGGGCACUGAGACACGGGUCCCACUCCUACGGGAGGCAGCAGUUAGGAAUCUUCCACAAUGGGCGAAAGCCUGAUGGAGCGACGCCGCGUGAGGGAUGAAGGUCUUCGGAUCGUAAACCUCUGAAUCAGGGACGAAAGACACUUCGGUGGGAUGACGGUACCUGAGUAAUAGCACCGGCUAACUCCGUGCCAGCCGCCGCCGUAACAC